rnacentral:lncRNA from 1 species
ACGCCCUAAAAGUGUGAUGUCAUCCUAUAUGGAGCACUUGGUCAGAUGCCACUAUCAGUAUCACUGCACCUCACCACCACUUACCCUCUCUCCAACCCUGAUCCACAUUUACCAUUUAGCACAAAGAACAUAAAUACAUAUGAAACAUUAGCGGAGAGAGCAGGAGUGGCCUCAACAAUGGAUGUGGUUCGGUUAGGAAUAGGGGUUCAGAUAUACUAUCACCAAGGAAUCGCCAACCAUCAGGGCAUGGACCUGAGCCCUAGGACCAUGCCUCAGGACUACCUGGUAUGAUGACUCCUUGCUGUCCCCAGUCCACCUGGCCGUGCUGCUGCUCCAGUUUCAACUGUUCUGCCUGCGGCUAUGGAACCCUGACCUGUUCACCGGACGUGCUUGUUGCACCCUCGACAACUACUAUGAUUAUUAUUAUUUGACCAUGCUGGUCAUUUAUGAACAUUUUAACAUCUUGACCAUGUUCUGUUAUAAUAUCCACCCGGCACAGCCAGAAGAGGACUGGCCACCCCUCAUAGCCUGGUUCCUCUCUAGGUUUCUUCCUAGGUUUUUGGCCUUUCUAGGGAGUUUUUCCUAGGGAGUUUUUCCUAGCCACCGUGCUUCUUUCACAUGCAUUGCUUGCUGUUUGGGGUUUUAGGCUGGGUUUCUGGACAGCACUUUGAGAUAUCAGCUGAUGUACGAAGGGCUAUAUAAAUAAAUUUGAUUUGAACAACUGAGACAUAAAACUGAACAAGUUCCACAGACAUGUGACUAACAGAAAUGGAAUAAUGUGUCCCUGAACAGGGGGGGGGGGGGGUCAAAAUCAAAAGUAACAGUCAGUAUCUGGUGUGGCCACCAGCUGCAUUAAGUACUGCAGUUCAUCUCCUCCUCAUGGACUGCACCAGAUUUGCCAGUUCUUGCUGUGAGAUGUUACCCCACUGUUCCACCAAGGCACCUGCAAGUUCCCGGACAUUUCUGGGGGGAAUGGCCCUAGCCCUCAUCCUCCGAUCCAACAGAUCCCAGACGUGCUCAAUGGGAUUGAGAUCCGGGGUCUUCACUGGCCAUGGCAGAACACUGACAUUCCUGUCUUGCAG